rnacentral:rRNA from 1 species
AUUGAACGCUGGCGGCAGGCCUAACACAUGCAAGUCGAGCGGAUGAAGGGAGCUUGCUCCUGGAUUCAGCGGCGGACGGGUGAGUAAUGCCUAGGAAUCUGCCUGGUAGUGGGGGAUAACGUCCGGAAACGGGCGCUAAUACCGCAUACGUCCUGAGGGAGAAAGUGGGGGAUCUUCGGACCUCACGCUAUCAGAUGAGCCUAGGUCGGAUUAGCUAGUUGGUGGGGUAAAGGCCUACCAAGGCGACGAUCCGUAACUGGUCUGAGAGGAUGAUCAGUCACACUGGAACUGAGAAACGGUCAAGACUCCUACGGGAGGCAGCAGUGGGGAAUAUUGGACAAUGGGCGAAAGCCUGAUCCAGCCAUGCCGCGUGUGUGAAGAAGGUCUUCGGAUUGUAAAGCACUUUAAGUUGGGAGGAAGGGCAGUAAGUUAAUACCUUGCUGUUUUGACGUUACCAACAGAAUAAGCACCGGCUAACUUCGUG